rnacentral:rRNA from 1 species
GACGCAGUAGGAUAGGCGAAGCGUGCUGUUGGAGUGCACGUCCAAGCAGUGAGAUUGAGUGUUAGGCAAAUCCGGCACUCUUAAGAUUGAGCUGUGAUGGGGAGAGGAACUUGUUCCUCGAGUCGUUGAUUUCACACUGCCGAGAAAAGCCUCUAGCUAGAAUAACGGUGCCCGUACCGCAAACCGACACAGGUAGUCAAGAUGAGAAUUCUAAGGUGAGCGAGCGAACUCUCGUUAAGGAACUCGGCAAAAUGACCCCGUAACUUCGGGAGAAGGGGUGCUCUUUGAGGUUCACGCUUCGAAGAGCCGCAGUGAAUAGGCCCAAGCGACUGUUUAUCAAAAACACAGGUCUCUGCUAAACCGUAAGGUGACGUAUAGGGGCUGACGCCUGC